GGGCACAUGGUGUAGUUGGUUAUCACACCCGCUUUGCACAUAUCUCUCAUUCAGCAUCUUGCGGGUGGUCCCCGGUUCAAAUCCGGGUGUGUCCA